GGUCAUAUGGCCAAAUGGAAAGGCGCUUGGCUACGAACCAAGAGAUUCCAGGUUCGACCCCUGGUAUGAUCA